rnacentral:misc_RNA from 1 species
GCUCUUUAUUCAGUUGUUGCUGAGCAUGGAAGUUCCAUGAGUAAGGUACAUGCUCCAGCACGGCGCCUUUCUAGGCUAUAUCUUCAUGCUUGUAAAGAAAGUUCUCAACCAAGGAGAGCUAGUGCAGCUAGAAGUGCUGUUUCAGGGCUUGUUCUGGUUGCCAAGGCAUGUGGGAAUGAUGUCCCUAGGUUGACAUUUUGGCUAUCAAACUCUGUUGUGUUGAGAGCAAUUAUACACCAGGCAAUAGAUGACGACGAGCUAUCACUUUUUGGUAAAAAGAACACAGAGAUGAAUGGUGGUGGAAAGGGGAACAAGAUGAUGUCAUCUUCGCUAAAGUGGAAGCUAUCAUCUCCCAGAAGAAAGGGAAAUAAUAAAGUUAUUUGUGGAGAUUUAGGUGACUGGGAGGAUCCACAUGAAUUUAUAUCUGCCCUGGAAAAAGUUGAAGCUUGGAUCUUUUCCCGAAUUGUUGAGUCUAUAUGGUGGCAGACUCUUACUCCACGGAUGCAAUCCGCCACUACAAAAGCAAUUGAUAGAUUUAUUGGUUCUGGCUCAAAGAAAAAUCUUGAAAGGAUGUCAAGUUCAGGCGAUCAAGAUCAAGGAAACUUUUCAUUAGAACUUUGGAAGAAUGCGUUCAAGGAUGCCUGUGGGAGACUUUGUCCUCUUAGAGCUGGUGGGCAUGAGUGUGGCUGUUUGCCUGUGCUGGCCAGACUGAUAAUNCUAGAUUAGAUGUGGCAAUGUUCAAUGCCAUUCUUCGUGACUCUGCCGAUGAAAUCCCAACUGAUCCAAUGUCUGACCCUAUCAGUGAUUCAACAGUUCUUCCUAUUCCAGCUGGUAAAUCAAGCUUUGGGGCUGGAGCACAAUUGAAAAAUGCGAUUGGCAACUGGUCUAGAUGGCUGACUGACUUAUUUGGCAUGGAUGAUGACUCACUUGAAGAGGACAAUGA